rnacentral:rRNA from 1 species
UGGGGAAUAUUGCACAAUGGGCGCAAGCCUGAUGCAGCCAUGCCGCGUGUAUGAAGAAGGCCUUCGGGUUUUAAAGUACUUUCAGUCGGGAGGAAGGUGGUAAGGUUAAUAACCUUAUCAAUUGACGUUACCCGCAGAAGAAGCACCGGCUAACUCCGUGCCAGCAGCCGCGGUAAUACGGAGGGUGCAAGCGUUAAUCGGAAUUACUGGGCGUAAAGCGCACGCAGGCGGUUGAUUGAGUCAGAUGUGAAAUCCCCGGGCUUAACCCGGGAAUUGCAUCUGAUACUGGUCAGCUAGAGUCUUGUAGAGGGGGGUAGAAUUCCAUGUGUAGCGGUGAAAUGCGUAGAGAUGUGGAGGAAAACCGGUGGCGAAGGCGGCCCCCUGGACAAAGACUGACGCUCAGGUGCGAAAGCGUGGGGAGCAAACAGG